rnacentral:ncRNA from 1 species
GUCAAGGGGUGCUCACGGCUGUGGGCUGAGAUGAUACCCUCCAAACCUGAUACGGAUAAUGCCGACGUAGGGAUGAUA